rnacentral:lncRNA from 1 species
UGGGAUUACAGAUGUGCACCACUGCACCUGGCUUAAUUUUGAUUUUAGUUCAUUGCAACCAAAAAGGUCUAAUAUUCAGAUGUUAGUUGAGGCGUCUGUAGGCAGUUGCUUGAUUGUCAGUCAAUGUUUUCAUAGAUAUUUAUCAGGACAAUCCUGCCAGAUGAGUCAUUCUUACAAUCCAAUUAUUGAUGGGGAAACUGAGGCUCAGAGAGGCAAAGCCACACACCUGAGGUCACACACCUG